UAAUAUAAUGGCAUAAAACUGUUAAUUUAAACAAAAAAAAAUGGGAAACGCGUAGAAAAAAAAAAGGAUAAUCCACUUACUGCACCUUUGUUGUGCCUAUCCUCAUAAUACCCCUGAGUCCCAGUUGCUGGAUUUAACCACAAUGCUUUCCGAUUUCCAGAGAAGCAGCAGCAGCACUCCAGCUUUCAUCAUUAGCAUUCCCAAUUAUAAGCGUUUUGUCCCAGUGCCUUUGCAGCAAAGCCCAAACCUCUGCAAGGGCUGAACCCUCAUGGCAGCACUGACGCAGGGGCAUGCUCUCUUUGUGAGAACAGGGAGAGGGAAAAACAAAGUGGGAGAGGGAGAGAGGGAGAAGAAAAAAAACAAGCAAUGAAGAGACAAGGAUGAGAAAAAGAGAAAGUCAGUGAGAACAGAAAGAGAGGAAGAAGAGAAAGAGGAGUUUAUCUUCACUGAGAACCCAGAAAGACUGGAGAGGGACCUCCCUUGAGAAACUUGCUACAGUUCAGCAUGUUGGACUUCUGUCAGCGGAAACUCCCAACCCUAAACAUACUGCUCAGUUCAGUACUCCCAUCCCCUCAGUUAUCCCUAGCACCCAACAGGAAAGGUGAAAGUAGGCCAAAAUGCCGACAAAAUUGAUUCCUGAUAUAACUUAUUCUAUCAUUCAAUCUUCUUCCAAGGGCAAGACUCCAGAAAAUCACAGCCCAGAUGAGCUUAUGAGAUGCAUAAACUCCUAUCUGCCCACUCUUCAGGUUCUUCUGUCACCAUACUUUGUUCAGGAGCUCUAGGUGUGUUUGCUUUUUAUUUGUUUUGUUGGCUGGUAUUUGUUUGUCUUUAUUUUGUUCUACUUCUUUUGGCUGCUACUAAUCUAUAUACAACUGUGAUAUAGGCUCCCAGCAACUUCCUCUAGUAACUUUUUCCUGAAUUUGUCAUCUCUCAGUAGGAAAUACCACAGAAUUCCUGCCAUCUGUAACUACAGGUGCGAAUUAUGGAUGCAAACCAGAGUGAAGGUCUGCAGUACUCAGCACACGGCAGAUUGGUUUGGCAGCGGUGCGAGCUGGAGGGAGUCCCAGAGCAGUGUCGGAUUGCCAUCUGCCGGCCGUUCCUUGCCUCUGGCAGUUCUGCUCCACGGAUUUCAUCUGAUUUCAUCACCCAGAAGUUCAGGAAGGCCGUGACAUCUGGGAUACAAGUUCCCACCGCUGUAGGCAUACCUGCUGAACUGUCAUUCCCAUUUCACAAGUCAUAAAAUAUUUCAUUCAGUUUUGAAACAGUGUAUCUGUUGCAACAGAGAUGUUCUGGACUUCACCAUUCCUACCUGCUGAACCAGUCCCACUGUCAUCUUUAGUGCCCAAUCAGAUCUGGUCUGAUUUUGCUUCCAUAGAGACUAUGUGUAGAACGGUUGCUGUGCAGUUUCAGAUAUUAGGCUUAUAGCUUCCUGCCUUCACACUGCCAUUUCUCCUCACUGUCACCAGCCAAACCUGCCAGUAGCUUGGGUCUCUGGCUCAAGUGCUGAGGAAUUAUGGUAAGACGGAAUGCAGGCGGCUGCUUUUAGGAACCUUUCCAUGUCAAAAGCAUGAAGCCUUGUGCUUGGUAGUGGCAACCAGUAGCUGACCAUCUCCCAGGACUGGACACAUUGCCAGUGGGUGUGCAAAACUAAUGCCGGUGACUGCACAGUCAUUCACUGUGUGAAUGAUCAUGCAGGUGACACUGUCCCACAGGUCAGUGGUUACUGAGCCAUUACUGUUUGUAGGGAAAUUGUGCACACAACAGCACUCAGAUUGUGAGGGUCUGUGCUAGAACUGCCUCUGCCUCCCACCUGGGGAGCCUUUCACCAUCAGAGCUGGACAGUUCCAUACCUGGAGCAGGCUGAUGGGAAAAGUAGAGACAGGACGAAGCCUGGAGCAGCCCCCAGGACUCCCUUACUAGAUCAGUCAAUGCCAAGGCAGCAAAGGAGCAAUGUUACCAAUAACCAAUAGAAAAUCAAUGGAAAACAAUGGCAUUAAGAAGCAGUUUCAUGACCUGAAACGCGAGUGAUGCCCACUUUGCUCCUGACUGGGCUCCUGGGAUCAGCUGAACACAUUGACUGGAGACCUACACUUAUAGAUACUGUUCCCUGUGUGGACUGUAUGGUGAUGUGGUGUGAGCUCACCCACUUCUGGUCCUCCAGCUAUGAACAGCCACCAAUGUUCCACCUCCAAAUGGCUAUUUUCGCAAAACCCAUGUGAGCUUAGCUGUCUUUGUAUGCU
rnacentral:lncRNA from 1 species